rnacentral:rRNA from 1 species
UACGGAGGGUGCGAGCGUUGUCCGGAAUCAUUGGGCGUAAAGGGCGCGUAGGUGGCCCGGUCAGUCUUUGGUGAAAGCGCGGGGCUCAACCCUGCGUCGGCCAGGGAUACUGCCGCGGCUCGAGCACUGUAGAGGCAGGCGGAAUUCCGGGUGUAGCGGUGAAAUGCGCAGAUAUCAGGAAGAACACCCGUGGCGAAGGCGGUUCUCUGGGACGGUACUGACGCUGAGACGCGAAAGCGUGGGGAGCGAACAGG